rnacentral:rRNA from 1 species
CCUACGGGAGGCAGCAGUGAGGAAUAUUGGUCAAUGGGCGCGAGCCUGAACCAGCCAAGUCGCGUGAGGGAAGACGGUCCUAUGGAUUGUAAACCUCUUUUGUCGGGGAGCAAAAGACGCCAUGCGUGGCGUUCCGAGAGUACCCGAAGAAAAAGCAUCGGCUAACUCCGUGCCAGCAGCCGCGGUAAUACGGAGGAUGCGAGCGUUAUCCGGAUUUAUUGGGUUUAACGGGUGCGAAGGCGGAAGGUCAAGUCAGCGGUAAAAUUGAGAGGCUCAACCUCUUCGAGCCGUUGAAACUGGUUUUCUGGAGUGAGCGAGAAGUAUGCGGAAUGCGAGGUGUAGGGGUGAAAUGCAUAGAUAUCACGCAGAACUCCGAUGGCGAAGGCGGCAUACCGGCGCUCAACUGACGCUCAGGCACGAAAGUGUGGGUAUCGAACAGGAUUAGAUACCCCAGUAGUC